rnacentral:rRNA from 1 species
UUUCACUCUAGCGAGACUGCCGUUGACAAAACGGAGGAAGGUGGGGACGACGUCAAAUCAUCAUGCCCCUUAUGUCCUGGGCUACACACGUAAUACAAUGGCGGUCAACAGAGGGAUGCAAAGCCGUGAGGCAGAGCGAACCCCUAAAAGCCGUCUCAGUUCGGAUCGUAGGCUGCAACUCGCCUACGUGAAGUCGGAAUCGCUAGUAAUCGCGGAUCAGAAUGCCGCGGUGAAUACGUUCCCGGGCCUUGUACACACCGCCCGUCACACCAUGAGAGUCGGGAACACCCGAAGCCCGUAGCCUAACUGCAAAGAGGGCGCGGUCGAAGGUGGGUUCGAUAAUUGGGGUGAAGUCGUAACAAGGUAACCGUAA